UACGUAGGGUGCAAGCGUUGUCCGGAAUUAUUGGGCGUAAAGGGCGCGUAGGCGGCCAUGCGUGUCUUCCGUGAAAUCCCUCGGCUUAACUGAGGACGUGCGGAAGAAACUGCAAGGCUCGAGUCCGGGAGAGGGGGGUGGAAUUCCCAGUGUAGCGGUGAAAUGCGUAGAUAUUGGGAGGAACACCGGUGGCGAAGGCGGCCCCCUGGACCGGAACUGACGCUGAGGCGCGAAAGCGUGGGUAGCAAACGGG
rnacentral:rRNA from 1 species